rnacentral:rRNA from 1 species
GAGUAGGGCGAGACACGUGAUAUCUUGUCUGAAUAUUGGGGGACCAUCCUCAAAGGCUAAAUACUCCUAAUUGACCGAUAGUGAACUAGUACCGUGAGGGAAAGGUGAAAAGAACCCCGGAUAGGGGAGUGAAAUAGAACCUGAAACCGUAUACGUACAAGCAGUAGGAGCAAAAAUUUAUAAAAUUUUUUGUGACUGCGUACCUUUUGUAUAAUGGGUCAGCGACUUAUAUUUUGUAGCAAGGUUAACCUUAUAGGGGAGCCGAAGGGAAACCGAGUCCUAAAUAGGCGUUAAGUUGCAAGAUAUAGACCCGAAACCCGGUGAUCUAGCCAUGGGCAGGUUGAAAAUUAGUUAAUACUAAUUGGAGGACCGAACCGACUAAUGUUGAAAAAUUAGCGGAUGACUUGUGGUUAGGGGUGAAAGGCCAAUCAAACCGGGAGAUAGCUGGUUCUCCCCGAAAGCUAUUUAGGUAGCGCCUUAUGAAUUUAUCUUUGGGGGUAGAGCACUGUUUCGACUAGAGAUCCAUCCCGGAUUAUCAAUUCGAUGCAAACUCCGAAUACCAUAGAAUAUAAUCAUAGGAGACACACGGCGGGUGCUAACGUCCGUCGUGGAAAGGGAAACAACCCAGAUCGCCAGCUAAGGUCCCUAAAUUAUAAUUAAGUGGGAAACGAUGUGAGAAGUCUUAGACAACCAGGAUGUUGGCUUAGAAGCAGCUAUCAUUUAAAGAAAGCGUAAUAGCUCACUGGUCGAGUCAACUUGCGCGGAAGAUUUAACGGGGCUAAAUUAUAUACCGAAGCUGCGACAUGGGUAGGGGAGCGUUCUGUAAGCCUGUGAAGAUAUAUUGUAAAAUAUAUUGGAGGUAUCAGAAGAGCGAAUGCUGACAUAAGUAACGAUAAAGCAGGUGAAAAACCUGCUCGCCGAAAAACCAAGGGUUCCUGUUCAACGUUAAUCGAAGCAGGGUAAGUCGACACCUAAGGCGAGGCUGUAAAGCGUAGUCGAUGGAAAACUGGUUAAUAUUCCUGUACUAGUUAUAACUGCGAAGGGGGGACGAAGAAAGCUAGAUUCUCCAGGCGACGGUUGUUCCUGGUUUAAGCGCUUAAGUGAAAAAGAUAGGUAAAUCCGUCUUUUUUUGACACUGAGACGUAAUGACUAACUAUUAAAAUAGUAAAGGAAUUAAUGCUAUACUUCCAAGAAAAGCCUCUAAGCAUCAGGUUAUAUACUAAUCGUACCCCAAACCGACACAGGUGGUUAGGUAGAGAAUACUAAGGCGCUUGAGAGAACUCGGGUAAAGGAACUAGGCAAAAUAGUGCCGUAACUUCGGGAGAAGGCACGCUAACAUAUUAGUAAAAAAAUAUACGUUUUUAGCUAAAGUUAGCCGAAGAUACCAGCUGGCUGCAACUGUUUAUUAAAAACACAGCACUGUGCAAACACGAAAGUGGAAGUAUACGGUGUGACGCCUGCCCGGUGCCGGAAGGUUAAAUGAUAUUGUUAUCUUUUAUAGAAAAGCUAUUGAUUGAAGCCCCGGUAAACGGCGGCCGUAACUAUAACGGUCCUAAGGUAGCGAAAUUCCUUGUCGGGUAAGUUCCGACCUGCACGAAUGGCGUAAUGAUGGCCAGGCUGUCUCUACCCGAGACUCAGUGAAAUUGAAAUCGCUGUGAAGAUGCAGUGUACCCGCGGCAAGACGGAAAGACCCCGUGAACCUUUACUAUAGCUUGAUAUUGAAUAUUAAAUAUUAAUGUGUAGGAUAGGUGGGAGGCUAAGAAAUAUUAACGCUAGUUAAUAUAGAGCCUAUCUUGAAAUACCACCCUUUAAUAGUUGAUAUUCUAACUUAGAUUCUUAAUCAGGGUUAAAGACAGUAUCUGGUGGGUAGUUUGACUGGGGCGGUCUCCUCCUAAAAAGUAACGGAGGAGCACAAAGGUUAGCUAAUCACGGUCGGACAUCGUGAGUUUAGUGUAAAGGCAUAAGCUAGCUUAACUGCGAGAAUGACAAUUCGAGCAGAUGCGAAAGCAGGUCUUAGUGAUCCGGUGGUUCUGUAUGGAAAGGCCAUCGCUCAACGAAUAAAAGGUACUCCGGGGAUAACAGGCUAAUACCGCCCAAGAGUUCAUAUCGACGGCGGUGUUUGGCACCUCGAUGUCGGCUCAUCACAUCCUGGGGCUGAAGUAGGUCCCAAGGGUAUGGCUGUUCGCCAUUUAAAGUGGUACGCGAGCUGGGUUUAGAACGUCGUAAGACAGUUCGGUCCCUAUCUGCCGUGGGCGUUGGAAGAUUGAGAGGGGCUGCUCCUAGUACGAGAGGACCGGAGUGGAUGUACCUCUGGUGUUCGGGUUGUCAUGCCAAUGGCAUUGCCCGGUAGCUAUGUACAGAAAAGAUAACCGCUGAAAGCAUAUAAGUGGGAAACUUGCCUCAAGAUUAGUCUUCCCAGAAGCAAAAGCUUCCUAAAGGGUUGUUAAAGACUAUAACGUUGAUAGGUCGGGUGUGUAAGC